GGACCCGUAGCUCAGCCUGGAUAGAGCGGCGGCCUGCGGAGCCGUAGGUCGUGGGUUCGCGGCGACAGCCGGCCCAGAAAUCCCACCGGGUCCG
rnacentral:tRNA from 1 species